GAUAAAUCAGUUUCCAUUGCAGAUUAGCUAACAUGUAAAUACAUAUUUUCCGAAGGCUUCUGAGAAACAUAAAUUACUUCCAUUUUGCCGCCAGGGAAAGAUGAAACUAAUUUUACAGCAGUUUCUACAGUCAGGAAUCCAGGAACAACUUUGCUCAAGGUCUCAUGAGAUUGCAACCAAGUUGUUGACCAGGGCUGCAGUCAUCUGAAGAUCUGAGUGGCGCUAGAAGAUCCACUGCCAAGAUGGCUUACUUUCAUGGAUGUUGGUGGGAGGCCUCAGUUCCUCACCAUGAGCAUCUCUCUGUAGGAUUGUUUGAGUGUUAUCACAAGUCCACUGGCUUCCUCCAGAGGAAGCAU
rnacentral:lncRNA from 1 species